ensembl:snoRNA SNORD24 Small nucleolar RNA SNORD24
UGCCACAAUGAUGACAUUUAUUUGCUACUCUUGACCAAGAGAAUGAUGAGAACUUCUACCACCAUCAUUUCCAUCUGAGAGGCA